rnacentral:rRNA from 1 species
CAGCCAUGCCGCGUGCAGGAAGACUGCCCUAUGGGUUGUAAACUGCUUUUAUACAGGAAGAAACACUGCUACGUGUAGCAGCUUGACGGUACUGUAAGAAUAAGGACCGGCUAACUCCGUGCCAGCAGCCGCGGUAAUACGGAGGGUCCGAGCGUUAUCCGGAAUCAUUGGGUUUAAAGGGUCCGCAGGCGGUCAAUUAAGUCAGAGGUGAAAUCCUACAGCUCAACUGUAGAACUGCCUUUGAUACUGAAAAACUUGAGUUAUUGUGAAGUGGUUAGAAUGUGUGGUGUAGCGGUGAAAUGCAUAGAUAUCACACAGAAUACCGAUUGCGAAGGCAGAUCACUAACAAUAUACUGACGCUCAUGGACGAAAGCGUGGGGAGCGAACAGGAUUAGAUACCCUGGUAGUCCACGCCGUAAACGAUGGAUACUAGCUGUUCGUCUAACAUUGGUUAGAUGAGUGGCUAAGCGAAAGUGAUAAGUAUCCCACCUGGGGAGUACGGUCGCAAGACUGAAACUCAAAGGAAUUGACGGGGGCCCGCACAAGCGGUGGAGCAUGUGGUUUAAUUCGAUGAUACGCGAGGAACCUUACCAGGGCUUAAAUGUAGUGGGACAGGUCUAGAGAUAGACCCUUCUUCGGACUCAUUACAAGGUGCUGCAUGGUUGUCGUCAGCUCGUGCCGUGAGGUGUCAGGUUAAGUCCUAUAACGAGCGCAACCCCUAUCGUUAGUUGCCAGCGAGUAAUGUCGGGAACUCUAACGAAACUGCCAGUGCAAACUGUGAGGAAGGUGGGGAUGACGUCAAAUCAUCACGGCCCUUACGUCCUGGG